rnacentral:rRNA from 1 species
UACGGGGGGAGCAAGCGUUGUUCGGAUUUACUGGGCGUAAAGGGCGCGUAGGCGGUCUACUAAGUUGGAUGUGAAAACUCUGGGCUUAACCCAGAGCCUGCAUUCAAAACUGAUAGGCUGGAGUUCUGGAGGGGAUAGCGGAAUUCCUGGUGUAGCGGUGAAAUGCGUAGAUAUCAGGAGGAACACCGGUGGCGAAGGCGGCUAUCUGGACAGAAACUGACGCUGAGGCGCGAAAGCUAGGGGAGCAAACAGG